CUUAAUACAUGCAAGUCGAGCGACGCGCCUUCGGGUGACGGAGCGGCGAACGGGUGAGUAACACGUGGGCAACCUGCCCCUAGCUCUGGGAUAACUCCGGGAAACCGGGGCUAAUACCGGAUAUGACUUCGAUGGGCAUCUGUCGGGGUGGAAAGUUUUUCGGCUAGGGAUGGGCCCGCGGCCUAUCAGCUUGUUGGUGGGGUGAUGGCCUACCAAGGCGACGACGGGUAGCCGGCCUGAGAGGGCGACCGGCCACACUGGGACUGAGACACGGCCCAGACUCCUACGGGAGGCAGCAGUGGGGAAUAUUGCGCAAUGGGCGGAAGCCUGACGCAGCGACGCCGCGUGAGGGAUGACGGCCUUCGGGUUGUAAACCUCUUUCAGCAGGGACGAAUUCAGACGGUACCUGCAGAAGAAGCACCGGCCAACUACGUGCCAGCAGCCGCGGUAAUACGUAGGGUGCAAGCGUUGUCCGGAAUUAUUGGGCGUAAAGAGCUCGUAGGCGGUCUGUCGCGUCCGGCUGUGAAAACUUGGGGCUCAACCCCAAGCCUGCAGUCCGAUACGGGCAGACUAGAGUGCGGUAGGGGAGACUGGAAUUUCCUGGUGUAGCGGUGAAAUGCGCAGAUAUCAGGAGGAACACCGGUGGCGAAGGCGGGUCUCUGGGCCGUAACUGACGCUGAGGAGCGAAAGCGUGGGGAGCGAACAGGAUUAGAUACCCUGGUAGUCCACGCCGUAAACGGUGGGUGCUAGGUGUAGGCGGUAUUCCACGCCGUCUGUGCCGCAGCUAACGCAUUAAGCACCCCGCCUGGGGAGUACGGCCGCAAGGCUAAAAACUCAAAGGAAUUGACGGGGGCCCGCACAAGCAGCGGAGCAUGUGGCUUAAUUCGACGCAACGCGAAGAACCUUACCAAGGCUUGACAUGCAGGGAAAUCCUCCAGAGAUGGGGGGUCCGUAAGGGUCCUGCACAGGUGGUGCAUGGUUGUCGUCAGCUCGUGUCGUGAGAUGUUGGGUUAAGUCCCGCAGCGAGCGCAACCCUCGUUCUAUGUUGCCAGCGCGUGAUGGCGGGGACUCAUAGGAGACUGCCGGGGUCAACUCGGAGGAAGGUGGGGACGACGUCAAAUCAUCAUGCCCCUUAUGUCUUGGGCUGCACACAUGCUACAAUGGCCGGUACAAAGGGCUGCUAAGCCGCGAGGUGGAGCGAAUCCCAAAAAGCCGGUCUCAGUUCGGAUUGGGGUCUGCAACUCGACCCCAUGAAGUCGGAGUUGCUAGUAAUCGCAGAUCAGCAACGCUGCGGUGAAUACGUUCCCGGGCCUUGCACACACCGCCCGUCAC
rnacentral:rRNA from 1 species